AAGGGCAUGGUACAGCAGUGUUUACUCACAUUUCAGAUGAACUCUUCUAACUUUGCUACCAAGGAAUGCAAAGAAUAAUGUGUCUGUUCCACGGGACAACAAUAAAACAACCUUUUCUCCUCUCUAGUGGAGGUGGUUAAUAAAUCUCUAAUGCUGUAGCUAAUUGCUUGGUGGAAGAAGGUUGUCCUAUAAUGGUGAAAGUAGCAAUAUAAGCAAUAAUAGGGACAAAAAAGUCAUUUACAAGUAAAAGCGCUGCCAUUUUGAUGAGUAAAUGUGUAAAAUAAAAUCUAUAACGACACAGAUUUGGUUGAAGGACACAGCAGUAGGUUAUGGCUUUAAAUUAGGAAUGGUUAAAGCAGAACCAGAUGUUUGCCAACCCCAUGAGUACACGCUCAAAGUAUGUUAGGUGUAAAUGUAAUUCAAAUGGACACUCUUAAAAGUGUUCCUUAACGGUGCGUUACAGUAUGAAAUCAUACGUCACUGUCAUAACUCAUCUCCUUCAUUGCUAUUAGCGGGUGACAGGGGCGUGCGUUCCUAAACUGGAAACUGUGUCAACACCAAAGGUGUAGUUUCUCCUGAAAUGCAGUGGAUCCCGUACAACUGGUUCUUCACGGGUGUUGAUCCCUUGUGACUCUCACUGUAGACCGAUGUCUCAGAGCGUGAGGAUGCUAUUUCACUGACCGUCAGUUACAAAUCAGGGCGCAUUCAGGACAUAACCAAGAGAAACACUCAUGUUGCAACUUCUGGGAACUGUUGUUGGCCUCCUCUUCAUCAUAAUGUGCUUUUCAAAAGGACUCAAAGAG